AACGAACGCUGGCGGCAGGCUUAACACAUGCAAGUCGAACGCCCCGCAAGGGGAGUGGCCGACGGGUGAGUAACGCGUGGGAACAUACCCUUUUCUACGGAAUAGCUCUGGGAAACUGGAAUUAAUACCGUAUACGCCCUACGGGGGAAAGAUUUAUCGGGGAAGGAUUGGCCCGCGUUGGAUUAGCUAGUUGGUGGGGUAAAGGCCUACCAAGGCGACGACCCAUAGCUGGUCUGAGAGGAUGAUCAGCCACAUUGGGACUGAGACACGGCCCAAACUCCUACGGGAGGCAGCAGUGGGGAAUAUUGGACAAUGGGCGCAAGCCUGAUCCAGCCAUGCCGCGUGAGUGAUGAAGGCCUUAGGGUUGUAAAGCUCUUUCACCGAUGAAGAUAAUGACGGUAGUCGGAGAAGAAGCCCCGGCUAACUUGGUG
rnacentral:rRNA from 1 species